rnacentral:rRNA from 1 species
AUUGGGUUCCGGCAUUGGAAUGAGAACAAUAUAAAUCUUUUAACGAGGAUCUAGUGGAGGGCAAGUCUGGUGCCAGCAGCCGCGGUAAUUCCAGCUCCGCAAGUGUAUAUCUAUGUUGCUGCGGUUAAAAAGCUCGUAGUUGGAUCUGCGUGUUUAGCGUCCGGUUCGACUUUUGGUCGUUACUGGAACGCGACACAGAUGUGCUGGUUUGCCGUUGAUGCUCUUAACCGGGUGUCAGUGGCGGCUAGCGAGUUUACUUUGAAAAAAUUAGAGUGCUCAAAACAGGCGUUUCGCCUGAAUAUUUCUGCAUGGAAUAAUAGAAUAGGACUUCGAUUCUAUUCUGUUGGUUUUCGGAAUGCGAAGUAAUGAUUAAGAGGGACAGACGGGGGCAUUCGUACUGCGACGUUAGAGGUGAAAUUCUUGGAUCGUCGCAAGACGUACUACUGCGAAGGCAUUUGCCAAGAAUGUUUUCAUUAAUCAAGAACGAAAGUUAUGGGUUCGAAGGCGAUCAGAUACCGCCCUAGUCAUAACCGUAAACGAUUCAAACUGGGCGCCCGACGGUGUUUUUAUUGACCCGUCGGGAACCCUCCCGGAAACGAAAGUGUUCGUGUUCCGGGGGAAAUAUGUCUGCAAAGAGGAAACUUAAAGGAAUUGACGGAAGGGCACCACCAGGGGUGGAGCCUGCGGCUUAAUUUGACCCAACACGGGGAAACUCACCCGGCCCGGACACCGUAAGGAUUGACAGAUUGAGAGCUCUUUCUUGAUUCGGUGGGUGGUGGUGCAUGGCCGUUCUUAGUUGGUGGAGUGAUUUGUCUGGUUUAUUCCGAUAACGAACGAGACUCUGGCCUGCUAACUAGUGUUCACAUCUUUACGUGUGCUUCGCUUCUUAGAGGGACAGGCGGCUUCCAGCCGCAUGAAGAAGAGCAAUAACAGGUCUGUGAUGCCCUUAGAUGUCCGGGGCUGCACGCGCGCUACACUGAAAGAAUCAGCGUGUACGUUACCUGGCUCGAAAGAGUCGGGUAAUCCGGUGAAAAUCUUUCGUGAUUGGGAUCGGGACUUGCAAUUAUUUCCCUUGAACGAGGAAUCCCUAGUAAGUGCGGGUCAUCAGCUCGCGCUGAUUACGUCCCUGCCCUUUGUACACACCGCCCGUCGCUGCCCGGAACUGAGCCGUUUCGAGAAAAAUGGGGACUGUCUACUUGAGGUCCUCACGGACUUUUUGUAAAUGGAAACCGCUUUAAUCGCAGCGGCUUGAACCGGGCAAAAGUCGUAACAGGGUUUCCGUAGGAACCUGCGGAAG